rnacentral:lncRNA from 1 species
AUAUAUGUAUGUAUAAAUAUAUAUGUAUACAUACGUAUGUAUAUAUAAAGAUUACUACAGACUGCAUGAUACAUAGUGGUCAUGUAUGAUUGCCACACAAGUUAUAGCAAGAUGACCACAAAAUCCCAUUUACAACCCUAUAAAUGACAAUAAAGGCCCACCCCCAUCUUUUUCUCUUUGCAGCAUGUAACACACUGGACCUUUGCAAAUUGUGAGAUUCGAGUGUUUUAUCAGUAUUCUGAGUUUUUUCAGAUUUUUUGGUGGGUCGUUGACAGUGUUCCGACCUAUGGCUCGUAUCCCGAGAACUGAGGUAUUUAAAGUAGCGCUA